GACGAACCGUGCGAACGUUGUUCGGAAUCACUGGGCUUAAAGGGCGCGUAGGCGGGCGGCCGCGUCCGGGGUGAAAUCCCACGGCUCAACCGUGGAACGGCCUCGGAUACGGGCGGCCUCGAGGGGGGUAGGGGCAUCUGGAACUGUGAGUGGAGCGGUGAAAUGCGUUGAUAUUCACAGGAACUCCGGUGGCGAAGGCGAGGUGCUGGACCCCUUCUGACGCUGAGGCGCGAAAGCUAGGGGAGCGAACGGG
rnacentral:rRNA from 1 species